GCUUGUCUCAAAGAUUAAGCCAUGCAUGUCUCAGCAUAAGCUUCAACACGGUGAAACUGCAAAUGGCUCAUUAAAGCAGUUACAAUUUAUUUGAUGGUCACUGUUACAUGGAUAACUGUGGUAAUUCUAGAGCUAAUACAUGCGUAAAAUCCUGACUUUCUUGGAAGGGAUGUAUAUAUUAGAAUGAAACCAAUCGGCUUCGGCUGUAUUGUGGUGAGUCAUAAUAUCUAAUCGGAUCGCAGAGGCUUCGGCCGGCGAUGAAUCAUUCAAGUUUCUGCCCUAUCAGCUUUCGAUGGUAGUGUAUUGGACUACCAUGGCGGUGACGGGUAACGAAGAAUAAGGGUUCGGUUUCGGAGAGGGAGCCUGAGAGAUGGCUACCACAUCCAAGGAAGGCAGCAGG
rnacentral:rRNA from 1 species